rnacentral:rRNA from 1 species
CCAAUAGCGUAUAUUAAAGUUGUUGCAGUUAAAAAGCUCGUAGUUGAAUUUCGGGGUCAGCAAGUUGGUCGUGCCACUGGUAUGUACUGGCUUUGCUGAUUCCUCCUUCUUGUAGAACCGUAAUGCCAUUAAGUUGGUGUUGCGGGGAAACAGGACUGUUACUUUGAAAAAAUUAGAGUGUUUAAAGCAGGCUAACGCCUGAAUACAUUAGCAUGGAAUAAUGAAAUAGGACGACGAUCCUAUUUUGUUGGUUUCUAGGAUUGACGUAAUGAUUAAUAGGUAUAGUUGGGGGCAUUAGUAUUCAAUUGUCAGAGGUGAAAUUCUUGGAUUUAUUGAAGACUAACUACUGCGAAAGCAUUUGCCAAGGAUGUUUUCAUUAAUCAAGAACGAAAGUUAGGGGAUCGAAGACGAUCAGAUACCGUCGUAGUCUUAACCAUAAACUAUGCCGACUAGGGAUCGGAUGAUGUUAAUUUUAUAAUGACUCAUUCGGCGCCUUACG